AAUCAAUUGUAUGAUGACCAAGUGUUUGGAAAGCGGACGGGGGCCUUCUAAGUCAGAUGAAUAGCCAUGACAGUGGAAUUUCAUGUUGAUGUUGAGCCAAAGGCCCUGCCUGUCAGUGACAUCACUACCGAACCACCCACUAACAUGAUUUCCGGCCAACCCUGAUGACAUCACUGAGUAUCCAGUAUCACAUCACCUUGUAUCCAGAAUUCACCUUCCUGCCAUGUCAGUUCCUGUUCCAGCCACUCUAACUCCACCUCUUCCUCCUACCCACCAUAUUUAUAGAACAGACUCAUCUUGUUAAUUCAGUUCAGUUGUGAACUUCGAUCUGUAAAGAUGUGAUUGUUAUUUUGCUGAUUUUUCAGUAUAUGGAGUGGCC